GACGAACGCUGGCGGCGUGCUUAACACAUGCAAGUCGAACGGAAAGGCCCUGCUUUUGUGGGGUGCUCGAGUGGCGAACGGGUGAGUAACACGUGAGUAACCUGCCCUUGACUUUGGGAUAACUUCAGGAAACUGGGGCUAAUACCGGAUAGGAGCUCCUGCUGCAUGGUGGGGGUUGGAAAGUUUCGGCGGUUGGGGAUGGACUCGCGGCUUAUCAGCUUGUUGGUGGGGUAGUGGCUUACCAAGGCUUUGACGGGUAGCCGGCCUGAGAGGGUGACCGGCCACAUUGGGACUGAGAUCCGGCCCAGACUCCUACGGGAGGAAGCAGUGGGGAAUAUGGCACAAUGGGCGGAAGCCUGAUGCAGCAACGCCGCGGGCGGGAUAACGGCCUUGGGGUUGUAAACGGCUUUCGCCUGUGACGAAGCGGGAGUGACGGUAAUGGGUAAAGAAGGACCGGCUAACUACGUG
rnacentral:rRNA from 1 species